UACAGAGGUCCCGAGCGUUGUUCGGAUUCACUGGGCGUAAAGGGUGCGUAGGUGGCUUGGAAAGUUUGAUGUGAAAGCUCAGGGCUUAACCCUGAAAUGGCAUUGAAUACUGCUGAGCUGGAGGUUUGGAGGGGGGACUGGAAUUCUUGGUGUAGCAGUGAAAUGCGCAGAUAUCAGGAGGAACACCGGUGGCGAAGGCGGGUCUCUGGGCCGGUUCUGACGCUGAUGCGCGAAAGCGUGGGUAGCAAACAGG
rnacentral:rRNA from 1 species